GCGGACGUGGCGAAAUUGGUAGACGCACCAGAUUUAGGUUCUGGCGCCGCAAGGUGUGAGAGUUCGAGUCCCUCCGUCCGCACCA
rnacentral:tRNA from 4 species